CCUACGGGAGGCAGCAGUAGGGAAUAUUCCACAAUGGGCGAAAGCCUGAUGCAGCAACGCCGCGUGGAGGAAGAAGGUUUUCGGCUCGUAAACUUCUGUCAUCAGAGACGAAAGAAAUGACGGUAACUGAAUAAGAAGCCGCGGCUAACUACGUGCCAGCAGCCGCGGUAAUACGUAGGGGGCAAGCGUUAUCCGGAAUUACUGGGUGUAAAGGGUGGGUAGGCGGCAUGGUAAGCCAGAUGUGAAAGCCUUGGGCUUAACCCGAGGAUUGCAUUUGGAACUAGCAAGCUAGAGUACAGGAGAGGAAAGCGGAAUUCCAAGUGUAGCGGUGAAAUGCGUAGAUAUUAGGAAGAACACCAGUGGCGAAGGCGGCUUUCUGGACUGAAACUGACGCUGAGGUACGAAAGCGUGGGGAGCGAACAGGAUUAGAUACCCGAGUAGUC
rnacentral:rRNA from 1 species